CUCAAAGUUACUGAUGUUUAACAGCUAAUGCUCAUUACUAGGUCCGGAUACCAUCUUCAAAUAACGGAACAUACAAUGUCCUUCACAUGGUAUUAUUCAUGGUUACCUCCCAGUUGGGGUCUUUUAUUUGGAACCCUGCUCUCACUAGAAGCCACUUGUACAAAUUGCUUAUCCCAAAGACUGCCUUUGGAGAAAUCAAUUACAAUUAAGCAGGUCCUCAGAAUCUAUGCAGAACCUGCAUUACAUGAUGGGACCAUCUUCCCUUGGUAUUCCCCCACAUCUUUUCUCUAUUUUGCCUCUGAGAAUAAAUAUUCCCCACUAUUCCACUGCUUUACUGCCCUUCCUUAUUUAAGAAGGUUUAUCACAGAUCCAUAAGUUGAUUACAGAAGCAUUGCGAAUGGUAUAAUUAGGAAGUACAAAUUAUCAACAAAGACAUACAGCAGAUGGCACUGAAAACCCAAUAUCAUCUAUAAUUACAAGCAAACGUAAAAUUUCAAUGUUAUACAAAUGUAUUGUUGUUAUCAUAAUCAGAACGAUGAGACAGGAAUGCAGAUACUUCUCUCUAGGACCACAACCUUAGAAAAUUAGAAAUUAAUAAGGACGAUACCUAUGCCCACCAUUGCUACCCUCAUUGCCUUGUCUAGCCCUACCAGAGUUGCCACCACUUCUGUUUGCACCUCCGCUGCCAUUCCUGCUAUUAUUUCUCUGACGUGAAGAUGGGGAGUGUGGUUGUGCUCCAGGCUGCUGCCUACAAGGAAAAUGAAAUGCAGGAGCUGUAAGCCCUCCGGCACUUGAAACCAAGUCUCACAUAAUAAGUUGUUCAAAACCCAUUUCUUUGCCAGCUUAAUGUUCGGUAUUGCAGGUAUAAUCACCAUACCAAGCUAAGGAACAGUUAAUAGUGCAAAUACUAUAUUGAGAAUGAGUAAUACAGGUAGCUAAGGCCCAUGUGACCAGUAAAAUAAGACCACGGUACAGUGUGCUCCUCAGAACCAUGCAAACAGGACAUAACUGAAAAGACACAUUCUUGUUAAUCAACCAAAUGACAAACUGAAACAGCAAGAAAUCAGACCUUUGACAAAUUAAAAUAGUUGAUCAAAUUCAUUUUGCUGAAAAAUACCAGAGUUUUAGGUUGGCCACUUAGGACACAAAAAUUAGUUGAACCAACCAGGAAAAUGACAACUCCAAGUUUUUCUUAACUGAUAGAAUAAGGUUCCAUUAACAAGAUAAUGAGACCACUGAGACACUGAAUUCACGUCUGUCAAACUAGAUCCACAUUGCUGGUUAUGCUGAUGACCCUUAUGUUCUUUUCUUUGGUUAUGACCUCUCCAUCCCUCCCCCCCUCUCUCUCUCUCCCUCCCCUUCCCUUUGUGUGUGCAUAUGGAAGUUGAUUACAAGACUGAGCAGUCACUCAACAUGACAUUAAACUCUCACCUAGCCCUUCAAUCCUAAAAUCGAAAAUGUAAAAUAUAACAAAGUCAAAGAAGUCUAGUGCUCACAGGACAUAUCCAAUCCGACCAUCAGGAAGAAGCAUUGGCAUCAUUGCCAUACCAGCAGGUGUUGGUCCCCUUCCAUAGAUCAAUGGCUGUGCAAAGCCAGCAGAACCAUAACCUGCUCCAAGAACACCAAAGGUAUUUCCCACCAAACCAUAUCCAACACCAGCCGGAUAACUUGGAAGUAGACGUGACUUUGGUAAAUUUGACACUCCAACAGACUUCUGAUCUGCCUGAGGUUUUGCAAGAGAACAUUCCAAAACUUGGCCAUCUAGUUUGUAUUUUUCAGUAUUUUUCAGUACUUUCAUAGCACUAGACCUCUCUGUAAAAUGCACAAAACCAAUUCUAUUCUUCUCCUGGCCAGACUUCGCGGGUGGCAAAACCACUUUUGUAAUUUCUCCAUAGUGUUCAAAUAGCUUCUUCAACUGAUCUUGGGUUGUAUUCUUUGGUAAAUUCUUUACAUAUAUUGCCUUAACCUGUGAAGAAGCAGAAGAAUCAGCAUUUUUCGGAUCAGCCCAGCUUACAGUAGGAGCAUUAUUGCCCAGUCUAAAUUUUGGGUUCAUCAUCUUCUGCCUUGAAUACUCAGCACAUGCAUUAUUAUAGUAGUCAAUGAAAGCAAAGCCCCUGUUAUUACUUGUCUUCAUAUCCUUAACCAAUUCCACAGCAGUGACUCCAGGCCCAGCCUCCAUCACAACCUUCCUCAAAUCUUCCAGUUCCCAGUUUCUGGGAACAUUGCCAAGGAAUAGCCGAUGCUUUGAUUGAGAUGUUGAACAUUUAAUUCUUUUACCCUUGAAUUCAGUAUUAUUCAGCUUAUCAAUGGCUUUAGAGGCCAAAUCAACAUUUCUAAAGGUCACAAAUGCAAAGCCUUUGUUCUCAUUUGAAUCUUUGCCUUUCAUCAUUCGAACCUCUGUGACUUCUCCAACAGACUCACAAAACCCCCUCAAAUCCUCUUCAGAAGCAUUGUGAGGAAUGCCACCUAUGUAUACUUCAGAACCAUGAGGAGGACGGGCAAGAAGUUCAGCACGUUUUUUCCUCUCAUCCUCAUCUUCAAGCUCUGUGAUAUUACCUGUGACGCUUUUUUGGGCAUUAGAUCGAUCACCAUUAUCAUUGCCCCCCUCCUCCUCCUCUUCUUCCUCCUCUUCUUCCACCUCCACCACUUCUUCCUCUUCUAUUUCUUCCACCUCCUCUACUUCUUCAUACUCUACCUCUUCAUCCAUCACCUCCUCAAGAUCAUCUUCUCCAUCUAGAUCAACCCUCUCAUCAGACUCAAUUGAGUUUUCAGGUUUGACUGGUUCAGAAGCUGCUGAAGCAUUUCCCUUUGCCCUUGGCAUCUUAUGUAUCUAAGUAAACAAGCUUGCAGGCUAACUGUGGAGAAGGCACAGGGGCCAGAAGAAUUCAUGGGAAGAAGUAUACACAUAUUGAGAGGAGGAAACAAAGUCAAAGGCAAAAGGAGUUUCAGAACAUGAUUCUUAAUUUGAUGAGAUAAGACUCAAGGUGGUCACAAUGUGAAAGUCUUCUAAGGACUAAUGAUAUUAUCAGCAGUACAAACAGAGAAAGGCAAAAAGAGAUUUCCGAAUUAUAAUUAUGAGGCUAAUGAUGGUGUGGUGGUGCAAAAAUAUCAAGAAAUGAACUUCUUGAAAUUAGCUCACGACUUAUAUCAAAAAAAGGGAGGCAAAUUUAAGCAUUACACAGGACAGGGCACAUCCAUCACAAAAAUGAGAAAAGAAAGGGAGCAGUACGUAGUAAGAACUAAUAUAUUAGUUUACAGAUAAUAUAAUAAAAAAAGGCGAUAAUCAUCAUGUUUCAAGAUAAUCUCAGGUGACACAACAUUAUAAGUCCCCAUGAAUCUUUUACAAAUUUUUAGAUAAAAAAGGAAGGGUCUGGUGCAACAAAAAGGAGAAGCAAGCCAUAAUAAGAUCCAAUUUCACAAAACAAUGCGAGUUCCAAACUAAACAUACCAAUCUGUGUGCCUCCCGGAGAAGCUAAUCGCGAGGAUUGAUAGAAAAGUUGAGAAGAGAAUCGAUUGAGAAAUUAUAACCCUAAGCAGCUCGGCUUUU
rnacentral:misc_RNA from 1 species